GGCGAGGUGGCCGAGCGGUCUAAGGCGCUAGUUUCAGGCACUAGCUGGAUCAUCCAGCGGAAGCUACUAGUCCGAAAGGGCGUGAGUUCAAAUCUCACCCUCGUCA
rfam:Chlamydomonas reinhardtii strain CC-503 cw92 mt+ CHLREscaffold_35 genomic scaffold, whole genome shotgun sequence.